rnacentral:rRNA from 1 species
UGGCGAACGGGUGAGUAACACGUGGGGAAUCUGCCUAGGAGUGGGGGAUAACAUUCGGAAACGGAUGCUAAUACCGCAUAGAUUCGCGAACCGCAUGGUUCAUGAAUGAAAGACGGCUUUGCUGUCGCUCUUAGAUGAUCCCGCGGCGUAUUAGUUAGUUGGUGAGGUAAUGGCUCACCAAGGCAACGAUACGUAGCCGACCUGAGAGGGUGAUCGGCCACACUGGGACUGAGACACGGCCCAGACUCCUACGGGAGGCAGCAGUAGGGAAUCUUCCACAAUGGGUGCAAACCUGAUGGAGCAAUGCCGCGUGAAUGGAGAAGGUCUUCGGAUCGUAAAGUUCUGUUAUUAGAGAAGAACAAGUUGAGGAGUAACUGCCUCAACCUUGACAGUAUCUAACCAGAAAGUCACGGCUAACUACGUGCCAGCAGCCGCGGUAAUACGUAGGUGACAAGCGUUGUCCGGAAUUAUUGGGCGUA